GAUGCAGGUGCGUGCUGAAGAGUCACUAUGAGCAAAGCGGACAACCCCAAAGUAAUAAAAUGCAUGCAAAAAAAAAUUACUGAGGGUGCCAAAUCUUAAGGAGAUGUGAUGUGCAUGAAAGCUUAAAUGAGAAUGAUAUAGGAGAGGAGGGACCAGUUGUUAUUAAAAUGUGAGAAUCCCGAGGGGGUUACAAUAAAUCGUACUUUAGGGAAUGUGACCAUAGGAGGUCUCUGUUGUAUAAUACUAUGUUAUCCCUAAAAGUAAAGUGAACACCCUACUAAUUUUUUACUACGAUCUGUUACAUUAUAAUAUAAUAUUAUUUAUAGAAAGGUACAUAAUAUGUAAAAACUAUAAAAAAUUAUGUAGAUUUAAAUAUGAGUCACCAUAUCUUCUGCUAACUGACUUAAUGUUUUAUAUUAAUUUUUUUAAAUUAUUUAAUGUAUGAAAAUAUUAUAACCUUUAAAUAUUUACAUAUUGUUCAAAAAACAUUAUACACUAACGGAGUUUUAAAUUAACUUUUAUUCGGACCAAUGACCACUAAGCUUGUUGCGGUGAUGUUAUAAGCUUAUUUCAAUUUUCUUAAUUCGUGAAAACUAUUUAUUCCACUUUUCUCUAAAAUUGAAACGAUAUAAAUAAAUAAUUGGAUUAUGGUUUAAACUUUAAAGUACUUUUAAACCCCAAGUGAGUUAUAUCGUUAAGCGGCCGAUCAGAAAUACUUUAUAUUUAAUAUUUUAAAGUCUAAUCGUAUUUUUUUUUUUUAUAGCUAACCUAUAGAAACGUACAAUUUCAUCACUCUUUGACAUUAUAAUGUGUAAAUGUUAAAAAUUUUCUGUUUGAGGACAUUACUAAUAAGCCUAUAGAGAAAUGGCUUUCACCAGAACUGAAUGCCACGGAACAUCAUUGGUCAAUUCAUCAAAAUACUUGCGGUCAUCAGCUAAGUCUGGAUAACAAAUCUGGAUAAUAUUUAGUGUCUUCUCGUUCUCGUUUACAGUUUUGUAUAGAUCACGUAGAGCUCGAUCAUCGGUUGUGACAGUUUCACUGCCUAAUGGGACGAAAUACAAUGCGAUUAAA